CUGCUCUGGAGUCACUAUGUGAUCCACUGGCAAGAGAGGGCACCAGCAGAAGAUAUCUUCUAUAAGGCCAGCAGAAUUGCAUGGUAGGUAAAGGCACUGUGGUCAAGCCUGAUGACCUGAGCUCAAUCCUUGAAACCCACAUGGUGGAAGAAAAGAACCAAGUCACACAAGCUAAUCACAUCGUUCAAGGAGGGGCAUCAUACAGGAUGUGAGCAACAAGAAGCAGGGCUCACACAACUACUCAAAGACUUUGAUAUUAUAACCUUUAUUGAAAAUAUUUUUGUUGUAAAUAUCAUAUAUUUUGUUUCCGUGUGUUAACAAGCCUACAAAUCUAUACUAUUUCAGUGUGAAGCCUAUUUACUUAUAUAAUUAUAUAUCACUAUGCCUUAGUCUACCUUUCCUUUAAAAUAAUAUUGGCACUUUCUUUGUUCUUUUCAUGAAAUAUUUUAGAUGAUUCAGAAUUUUAGUAUUUAUUUUAUUCAUCAUGUUAUCUCAUUAUUUAUUUGUGUGCAUGGGUACAUAUGUACCCAUGCCACAGCACUCACAUGUAAAUAAGAAUUUGACUUUCAGGAGUCUAUUCUUACCUUCCAUCAUGUGUGUCCUGGGAAUCAAACUCAGGUUGCUAGGUUUUGUAGCAGUCACCUUUACCCAUGAGACAUCCUCCUGAUCCUUACAUCUCAUUUUAACUAUGACACUCUAGUUAUUCUGUGUUACCCUGUGACUUCAAUAUGAAGAGUCAAUAUUUUAUAGAUCUUUUAAUACCAUUUCACAACCAGCACAAGAAAUUUAUUGCAAUAAAAUAACAUCAACACUUAAUACCUUUGACUCAGUCUAUUUCCCCAAAAAUUUUCAGAGAGUUAGAUUCUAUAAUGGCUAGAACUUUAAGGUGUCAUACAUUUUGUAUUUUUUUGAGCUCCUGUAUCUUGAAAGAUUUCUUUUCAGUUAUUCAAAUAGGUAAAAGUGGUAAAUUUUAUCCUUAAGACAUUUUGCUUUCAAAUCCAUUGAGGUAGUCCUUCAGUCUGCUCUAUAUCACAGUGUUGAAUUCUAUUAAUAUGCUAUCAUAGUUUGCAAGACCCUUUCAUUCAUCUGCAAUGAAACAUUAUGCUAUAUUAUGUAUUUGCGGAUAUAUUACUGAAUAUUAUUUGCUAAGAUUUUCCCUGUUUGUUAGGGCUGUGAAUGACAGUGAUUUGUGAUUGUCCUGCCUUAUCCUAUUUAUGUCUGGUUUGCUGUUCAUUAAAAUCAUGUCAUAAAA